rnacentral:lncRNA from 1 species
UUGUUCAAUUUCAGUCUACUUCCUAGUCAUUUUAACAACUAAUGUCUUAUUCUUUAGCUGCUCUUUUUGUAUGUAACUUGUGCACCAAAGCAGCUGCGAUGCAGCCCAGGGCUAAUGUUGUAUAAGGAGUAUCGUCACCAUCAGCUGAACUGAAGAGGAACUUUUUCUUUUUUUGGCUGGGAAUUAAGCUUCUCACAGCUAGAAUUUGUUUCUGUAGACUUCAAAUUAUGCAACCCAAACAAUAAGAAACUAAUAUUCCAUCAGCAUUUUAACAAGUUAAAACAAAUAAUUGGAGCAUAAAGAGUCAGUCAAAAUUUUCAGCUGUAUUAGUGCAGCAGAACCAGACAUCAGAGACUGUGGCUUAAGAACACUAAAAACCACCAAAGAAGAUAAACUAUGGCAAAAACUAUGAAACAGACUGAUUUACAUGUUGAACGUUGUCCUCAUAAAGGGAAAAAGGCCAACAGAGCAAGAAGUCUGUCUUAACCAUUGUUCAAGAAAAUCACUUUGUGCAACUACUACCAUAAAAUAACAUGCUGCUUAAUGAAUUUAUGAAUUUGUAUCAAAUACCUGUCUCUGUAGCUCAAAUAGAAAAUUUAAACAGGGUUUUUGUAUUGACAUCAUAUUGUAG